CUAGUACUCCCUCCGAAAUACUUGUCGGAGAAAUGAAUGUAUGUAGAUGUAUUUUAGUUCUAUAUACAUCUACUUUUAUUCAUUUUUAUGACAAGUAUUUACGGACGGAGGGAGUAUUCA
rfam:Triticum aestivum genome assembly, contig: Triticum_aestivum_CS42_TGACv1_scaffold_094340_2AL